AUUGAACGCUGGCGGCAGGCUUAACACAUGCAAGUCGAGCGGAGAUGAGGUGCUUGCACCUUAUCUUAGCGGCGGACGGGUGAGUAAUGCUUAGGAAUCUGCCUAUUAGUGGGGGACAACAUUCCGAAAGGAAUGCUAAUACCGCAUACGUCCUACGGGAGAAAGCAGGGGAUCUUCGGACCUUGCGCUAAUAGAUGAGCCUAAGUCGGAUUAGCUAGUUGGUGGGGUAAAGGCCUACCAAGGCGACGAUCUGUAGCGGGCCUGAGAGGAUGAGCCGCCACACUGGGACUGAGACACGGCCCAGACUCCUACGGGAGGCAGCAGUGGGGAAUAUUGGACAAUGGGGGGAACCCUGAUCCAGCCAUGCCGCGUGUGUGAAGAAGGCCUUAUGGUUGUAAAGCACUUUAAGCGAGGAGGAGGCUACUGAGACUAGUACUCUUGGAUAGUGGACGUUACUCGCAGAAUAAGCACCGGCUAACUCUGUGCCAGCCGCCGCGGUAAGAC
rnacentral:rRNA from 1 species